rnacentral:rRNA from 1 species
GACGAACGCUGGCGGCGUGCCUAACACAUGCAAGUCGAACGAAGUGGCGAACGGGUGAGUAACGCGUAAUCAACCUGCCCUUCAGAGGGGGACAACAGUUGGCAACGACUGCUAAUACCGCAUACGGGAGGAGGGGGUUGCGUGUGCUUAGAAAGUUGGAGGGGUAACGGGCCACCAAGGCGAUGCUCAGUAGCCGGUCUGAGAGGAUGAACCGCCACAAUGGGACUGGGACACGGCCCAGACUCCUACGGGAGGCAGCAGUGGGGAAUCUUCCGACAUGGACGAAAGGCUGACGGAGCAACGCCGCGUGAGUGAUGACGGCCUUCGGGUUGUAAAGCUCUGUUAAUCGGGACGCGGUACCGGAAUAGAAAGCCACGGCUAACUACGUGCCAGCCGCCGCGGUAAUUC